UGGGGAACCUGCCCCAUAGUCUGGGAUACCACUUGGAAACAGGUGCUAAUACCGGAUAAGAAAGCGGAUCGCAUGAUCAGCUUUUAAAAGGCGGCGUAAGCUGUCGCUAUGGGAUGGCCCCGCGGUGCAUUAGCUAGUUGGUAAGGUAAAGGCUUACCAAGGCGAUGAUGCAUAGCCGAGUUGAGAGACUGAUAGGCCACAUUGGGACUGAGACACGGCCCAAACUCCUACGGGAGGCAGCAGCU
rnacentral:rRNA from 1 species